UCCCCAGUGACUCCCAGGGGUUCCCAGUGCCCCCCAGUGCCCCCAGUAUCCCCCCCUCCCCAGAGCAUGCGGCUCAAGCUCAUCGCCAGCAAUUCCACGAUGGAGCGGCGCUUCAGCCCCUGGAUCGGGGGCUCCAUCCUGGCCUCGCUCGGCACCUUCCAGCAGAUGUGGAUCUCCAAGCAGGAGUACGAGGAGGGCGGGAAGCAGUGCGUGGAGAGGAAGUGUCCCUGAGGGAAAAGGGGGGGGGAAAAAUGGGGGGAAAAUCAAUUAAAAAAUCAGUGAAAUCCA